rnacentral:rRNA from 2 species
UUGACCUCGGAUCAGGUAGGGAUACCCGCUGAACUUAAGCAUAUCAAAGGG